AGCGACAAUCGGGCGGAAGGCGGUUUACACCCUGGACAAGUCGCCACCUCAUCGCAGAGCCCCCUGCAAACCCAAAGAGAAUAAGAGGUGAUCCCCUGCUGGCCUCCAAAUGGACUGGACUUUCACAUGAAGUUGGGACCCAGAGUGGCCACUCCCUAUGCAUCAGUCAGUGACGUCUCUCCAUGUCUCCAUUCAAGAUGAUCCCCUGCUGGCCCCACUAUGGACUGGACUCUCACAUUAUUAACUGUAUCCAGUCGACAUCCAUUGCAGCGGUCACCCAAGUGGGGAUCCCCAUAUCCGCGGUCCCUUCCAAGGUUUCUCGUUGUUCCCAUUGGGUAGAGUUUUAUCUUGCCCUGUUUGGGAUCUGAGCUGAGGAUGUCGUUGUGGCUUGUGCAGCCCUUUGAGACAUUUGUGAUUAAGGGCUAUAUAAGUAAACUUUGAUUUAAUGAUUGAUUGAUUGAUCAUUUGGGCUAUUUAGCCGGUGGCCCGUCAGUUUGAUUUAAAGAAUUUGUGAAAUUGUGAGAGACUCACAUUUGUGAAGUAGAUUAUUAAAAUGCUGGCGACUUG